UUGACCAAGAGGGGUGCCUAAUGCCUUUCCCUCAAGGUUACUUCAAUUGUUUACCCUAAUCUCUGGUAACGCAAACCAACCCAAGAGUUAAUCGCUCUAGGUGCCCUAACGCACCAUAAUCUGUUAGGUGGCGAAUCUUCAAAUACCCAAUUCCCAAAAGAGAAAUGAGUCAUUAUACCCCAUGAAUGUCGAAACCCAGACCUCUUCCCUCGUCAAAAAGUUGAGGGAAAAAGGGGGAG
rnacentral:lncRNA from 1 species